UAAAGGAACCUUUUGCCAGUCCUAGAAACACUGGUGAAUAAGGGGUGGGCAAGUUCUGGUGUCAGCCGCCGCGGUAAAACCAGCACCUCAAGUGGUCAGGAUGAUUAUUGGGCCUAAAGCAUCCGUAGCCUGCUUUGUUAGUUUUCGGUUAAAUCUAUUCGCUCAACGAAUAGGCUGCCGGGAAUACUGCAAAGCUAGGGAGUGGGAGAGGUAGACGGUACUCGGUAGGAAGGGGUAAAAUCCUUUGAUCUAUUGAUGACCACCUGUGGCGAAGGCGGUCUACCAGAACACGUCCGACGGUGAGGGAUGAAAGCUGGGGGAGCAAACCGGAUUAGAUACCCGGGCAGUCCCAGCUGUAAACUAUGCAAACUCAGUGAUGCAUUGGCUUGAUGCCAAUGCAGUGCUGCAGGGAAGCCGUUAAGUUUGCCGCCUGGGAAGUACGUACGCAAGUAUGAAACUUAAAGGAAUUGGCNNNNGAGNNCCACAAGGGGUGAAGCCUGCGGUUCAA
rnacentral:rRNA from 1 species